GUGUUUGAGCAGCACAUUUACUAAAGCUGGAAGGAUACAGGGAACAUUAGCAUAGCCCCUGUACAGGGAUGGCAUCCAAAUUCAUCAAAUUCACUCAAAUACU
ensembl:snRNA U6 U6 spliceosomal RNA